GCGCCUGUAGCUCAGUGGAUAGAGCACCGGCCUCCGGAGCCGGGUGUCAGGGGUUCAAAUCCCUUCAGGCGUACCA
rnacentral:tRNA from 1 species